rnacentral:misc_RNA from 1 species
GAUGAAGAACGUAGCGAAAUGCGAUAAGUAAUGUGAAUUGCAGAAUUCAGUGAAUCAUCGAAUCUUUGAACGCACAUUGCGCCCGCCAGUAUUCUGGCGGGCAUGCCUGUCUGAGCGUCAUUUCAACCCUCAUGCCCCUAGGGCGUGGUGUUGGGGAUCGGCCAAAGCCCGCGAGGGACGGCCGGCCCCUAAAUCUAGUGGCGGACCCGUCGUGGCCUCCUCUGCGAAGUAGUGAUAUUCCGCAUCGGAGAGCGACGAGCCCCUGCCGUUAAACCCCCAACUUUCCAAGGUUGACCUCAGUUCAGGUAGGAAUACCCGCUGAACUUAAGCAUAUCAAUAAGCGGAGGA